rnacentral:lncRNA from 1 species
AGGACUUCUUGAAAUGUAUAUUGGAUGAAGAUAUGGAGAUGCGGUCUGAGAAAUGGACGGAGUUUGAUGAUGUAGUCCCGGGUAUAGUGCUUCACUUGGAGAGGCUUCUCUUCAAGGACCUGGUGAGUGAGGUCGUGCAUGGUGAGAUUGAUCGGCUGCAACCUACUCCAAGCAGACGAGUAGUUAUUACUGAUUCAUAAACUCGUUUUUUAUAUUCUCUGUACUCUAAAGCCGUAUAUAAAUAAUAAUACAAGUCAAAAGUCAUGUAACCAUUCUCUGCAUGUUUGUUCUCUUUUCUUUCUCUUCGAUGUUUGGUGAUAAAUAAAUAUUGUGCUCGUUAUAUCAGCUAGAUAUGAAUAAUGUGUUACUUAUCACUAUGUAGUGGUUCAAACUUGAACAUAGGCCUGCCUGCUUGUGCUGCAACAGCUUCACGAAGUUGACGUGCCUACGUACCAAGUGAACUAGCUUAGUUAGUUGCUCAUUGGAGACUUCUUUGUUAUCUUGUAGAUUUCCAGUGAAUAUAAAGUUUACUUCGAGAUCAGUUGCUCCAUCUCCACUCCAAUCAUGGCCAUAGUUUUGUAGAGACAGACCCUGAAAAGAACCAAAUCUCAUUGGUACAUUGUGUUUUCUUCAACAAGAGAUAAAAAAAAAGUUUGAUGAAGCUUUCGUAUUUGUUGCAAAGAUUGAGAAGGUUUUGAAGAAGAGCUAUGAGUACAGAGAGCAUUGUAUUUGCACAAUUACAUAAUUUUCUUCCUUUAAGUUUUUUAUAGUAACAAGUGUUUCAAAUAAACUACAUACAAACUUUGAACACUGAGUUACUGCCAAACACUAUAUACCUCGAAAGAUAACUAACUUUGGUCUCUCACACAAAGAUUUUCAUUCAGGCAGGGACUUUGAUGUUUCGAGAAGGAACUUUUCUUUGAAGUCGAGCAUUUUGUUCAGAGCUUCUAUAUAAGCCUCGAGCCCCGACACUACAACGUUCAUUCUCGCUCCGGUUCCACUACCAAAGACAUAGAGAUGAAAAAUCAAACUAGGCAAUAUGAUUAUCUUUGUCUAGUUCAAAUGAGAAGAUUUUUACCUGAAGUUUCUUUGAACUUCUUCACCAGUUAGAGCGUUUCCACGGACAAGAACUCGUGUGGUUGCAAUGGCAUCAGUGCCUUCUGUUGCUGUAUCCAUUGAGUACUCAAGCAAAGUCGUCGGUUCCUUAACAAUAAGAUCAACUGCCUUAAAAGCUGAUUUGACAGGGCAAGUUCCCCUAGAACAAGCGCAAUGCUCUUUGCCAUCAGCAUCAGCAAGUGUCACAGUUGCUGUUGAAAACUCAAUAGUCGCACAAAUUAUCUGCAUCCCACUUUCAUUAAAAAUGAGACAACUAACAUGACAACAGAGGUCAAUAAAAACUAUCUUAAUCACAGUUUCACCUGAAUGUCCAGGAGUUUCCACACGGCUUCUGGCUGGAACACCUCGUCAGAUACCAAAGCUAUUCUCUCAGUCUGAUUAUUAAACUAACCACUUAAAUUUGAACUGCCUUACUUUUUUAAACUCGAAACAGAACCAGACGUAAUCUCAUAUUGUGUGUUUCCAUAUCCGUGAUCUGUUUAAAAUCGUUACAUAUAAUCAAUAUGCAUUAAUAAUACCGAAAUCAGUUUAAUGAUAAUCAUUUUAGAUAUGAAAACAUUAUCAAUCCCAAAAUCUCUAUUGAAACUAAUUCACAAAGUUGUUUCCGUAUAUAGCUCUUGCAAUCUUAACAAUGGAAUAUAUUGCUACAAGUUCUUAAUUUCCAAUCCUGCCUCCCAAAAUAUUCCUUGAAAUCGACUAUAGCAAGCAUCAGUAGUUAGUUUCCAUAUUCUGCGCUUGAGAUUUUAACAAAUAACUAGGAUUUGAUGAUUAGCAUAUAUAUUUAUACGAUACGGUUUAGUUUAAAAAACAGAAAUAAGAAUAUCGUAUUUGCACAAUUACAUAAUUUUCUUCCUUUAAGUUUUUUAUAGUAACAAGUGUUUCAAAUAAACUACAUACAAACUUUGAACACUGAGUUACUGCCAAACACUAUAUACCUCGAAAGAUAACUAACUUUGGUCUCUCACACAAAGAUUUUCAUUCAGGCAGGGACUUUGAUGUUUCGAGAAGGAACUUUUCUUUGAAGUCGAGCAUUUUGUUCAGAGCUUCUAUAUAAGCCUCGAGCCCCGACACUACAACGUUCAUUCUCGCUCCGGUUCCACUACCAAAGACAUAGAGAUGAAAAAUCAAACUAGGCAAUAUGAUUAUCUUUGUCUAGUUCAAAUGAGAAGAUUUUUACCUGAAGUUUCUUUGAACUUCUUCACCAGUUAGAGCGUUUCCACGGACAAGAACUCGUGUGGUUGCAAUGGCAUCAGUGCCUUCUGUUGCUGUAUCCAUUGAGUACUCAAGCAAAGUCGUCGGUUCCUUAACAAUAAGAUCAACUGCCUUAAAAGCUGAUUUGACAGGGCAAGUUCCCCUAGAACUAGCGCCAUGCUCUUUGCCAUCAGCAUCAGCAAGUGUCACAGUUUCUGUUGAAAGCUCCAUAGUCGCACAAAUUAUCUGCAUCCCACUUUCAUUAAAAAUGAGACAACUAACAUGACAACAGAGCUCAAUAAAAACUAUCUUAAUCAUAGUUUCACCUGAAUGUCCAGGAGUUUCCACACGGCUUCUGGCUGGAACACCUCGUCAGAUACCAAAGCUAUUCUCUCCGCGUCCGUAACGCUCUGGAAGAAAACAUAAACGAUCGGUUGGAAUUGAAAACACUUAGACAUCUGAAUAAAUAAUGUGAUAUUAGGAGUAAAGUAAAAAUACGAGAAGACAUUAGUGUCUCCCUCCCACAAAGAUGGUAACAUUGAGUAUGUUUGGGUGAGAUUGAUGUGUACCUCAGUCAAACUGUCUUUCAACGCAAGAUGCCCAUCAGAUUUCCUCUGUUCCUGGCUUGUCAGUUGCUUCACAGUCCUAAGAUGGACAAAACACAAUGAAAACUUUGGGAUUUUGAAACCAUCCUUUUGUAUAACUACGAGAGCAAUUUACCAUUGUUUGAGAUUUUGAAGGUAGCUCAGCGCAUUAGCCACAAUUAAUGGGAAAAGUGAAAGCCCCAGUAACUGAAUCACCACACAAAAGAUCUUCUCUAGAAAAUCUUCACCUGGGUCUAGGUUUCCAGCUAGAGUGCUGAUUUGCUAGAUCUUCUCUAGAAAACAUUCAUCUGGGUCUAGUGAAUGUGGAGAACAUUCAGAUAUUUGUAGAGGAAUAUCUAAUUGAUCUGUCUCCAAUAAACGAGAUGCACAAAUUAUGGACUUCUUAACUCUUGGGUCAUCAAUUCACAUAAACAUAAGUAAAUUAAUCCAGAGGAUUUUUGACUGAGUAAGUCCUCACUUUUUGAUUGCUCCUUGAGAGCUUACACAAAGUAGUAAGUGUUCAAUGUUCAUGCACACAUAGGUUAAUUUAGUUCUUGAGAAAACUUUACUUUACUAGUUAAAUGUUAUCUUGAGAAAUGGACUUCACCUCACCAAAUUAACAAGUCUUAAUAUUCCUAUUGAUCUCUUGUGUUUCAAGUUUCAACAAAGACUAUACUCUCUUCAAAUAAGUUUAGCUUUAUAUUGGUUGUUAAGGCUCUAACUUGCAACCUUGAAAAUGAAGCAAUGGUACAAUGGUAAUGCGUUUUAACAUCCCUACCCCUAACUACUAAAGCAUGUUUUUCCGUUUACUAAUUUCAGUGUAGCAUGUGAAUCUGUUCUAACUUAAAACUAAUUUGAUUAUUGAAUAUAAUUUUUUCCUGUGCUUUUCAUCUAAUUCAGGGAGAGAAAAAACCAUAUUACAUUUCACCAAGUGUAUAGAUUGAAAAAAAGAUACAAUUAUAAAUAAUAAUUUAGAAAUGAGGAAGCAAAGAAGAUAAUAUUGUGGAUAUUUUUAAGUUGGUCACGAGAAGACAGGAGUCACAUGCAGAGGGAGACAUCUCAAAAACAGAGGGUUUAACAAACCACAUCCACUUGCCACAGCCCCCUCACUUCCUCUCACUAAUCUCACCUCAUUUCUAUUCUAUUACUCAUCAGAAACACACAUAGACAAUGUUCUGUUUUGUACUGUGAGCAGAAAGAGAGAGUAGAAAACAAAGGAACAUUUGGCAGAGUAUUUCUUUUGUUCCCUCUGCUUGGCCUUAUCUGUUUCUCCGUAUCUGAAAGUUUCUGUCUUUUUUUUCUUGGAUUUGUGAGGUUUAUCAGUGACAUUUCCCUGAAUUAUUUUCUUCUGAAGGAUUCCUUCCUACACAAGGACUCUCGUUUGUUCUGUAACAAACAGAGCUUUUUUUUUUUUUUGUUAGUGCGAGAUAACUCAGGAAAAGGGUUCGUCUCUUUUCUCGCCUCCGGUGAGAUUUGGGAAUCUAUCUAAAAUUUUGAACUUCUGCUACAAGUAGAAACAAAAAUGCUAAUUUUCUUCUUCUCUAUUUUUUUUUUUUUUUUUUUUUUUUUUCUUUUGAUUGGAGGUGACAUAGUGGAGAAGGUGGGUUUAAUAGAUGUGUUUUUUUUUUUGUCGUUGAUAGGGAGGGAAUAUAUAAGCAGCUGUAAUUAGCUGGAGGGCAAUGGCGUUCUCACAUUGAGCUUUGCCUAAGGCCAAUUUUAUUGGAAUCUAAAUUGAUAAAAAAUCUCAGCUUUUUUUGGAACUAUAUGAUAACAUGGAAAGUGGGUCAUUCUCGUUAUGGUGGUUGCUUGUUGAUGGAUAUUUAACGAAAGCUUGAAGUUAUUCCAAAACUAGUGUUUACUGGAAACAACAAGGAGAGUAUAUAAUACUGUAAAGUUUCAGAGCCAAGAAGAUAACAAAGAGUUAGUAUUCAUGGCUGCGAAGCUUUUGCAUACAUUGGCAGAUGAAAACUCGGAUCUACAGAAGAAAAUUGGAUGUAUGAAUGGGAUUUUCCAACUCUUUGAUCGUCACCAUGUUCUCACAAACCGGCGAAAAAGUCUUACUUUAGGUAAUCAUAUAACACUGUAACAUAUAAAUAAAUACUUGUGAUUUAGAUCGUGUCUCUUAGUGGUUGACUUGUACAUGGCCAUAUGUUCUUAGCUAUAUGAUGUCCUUUUCCAUGUUCUUAAGUUUUAUUUCUUCUUCAUGAACUAAAUGGUCUUGUCUGAUUCUUCUGUAAGGGCUAAAAGGUUUGUGUCAUAUCUUCAGACAAAGUUGCUCUAGUUUGUGAAAUGCAUGUUUGUUUUGUUAGAUUAGAUUUGUAUUUUGUGUGGCUUUUGCUUGGUAGAUUUUGACUUCUCUGAACCUUAGACUCUUCAAGUUUCUUAAAUCUGUAAUGCUUAUGGUUUAUAAGCAAAGAGAAUUGGAUAUGAUCCUAUAACUCUUUUGAUCUCAUGUGUUGUUGUUCUUGCAGGUAAUAUCAACUUUGAAAGAGACUCUGCAUUGCAGAUUCAAGACUCCAACAUUAUCAACAUCGGAAAUGAGACAAGCGAGAAACUAAGAAGGGUAUCAACCGAAUCUUCCAGAGUUUCCUUCUCAUCCUCAUGUUCAUCAUCUUCCCCACUGUCUUCUGAUCCCAACAAAGAAACUCAACCUGAGAUUUCACCGUAUGACCACCGGGUCAUUUUUCAAGAAUCUCCAGCGAUGAGCCAAGGAAGCGGGUUGGGACUUGACCUUAGAGAUGUUGUUAGAGACUCCAUGUACAGAGAAGCUAGAGGACUUUCCGAAGUAUCCAGACACAACAAGAGAAGAGAUGAUUCUCCAAGACCACCCUAUGGUUUGAAGCAAUCCACUCCUGUUGAUUUCAAUGAAUCCUGCAAAGCUCUAGCCAAACUCAACACUUCUCAGUAUUAUUACAAUGAGGUUGACUUGAAAGAUGCGUCCCGUUACUAUGUUGAUUCUCACAAGAGGUCUAAAUCCAAGAAGAAGGUGAAAGAGUCUCCUAAGCUUUCUUUGGAGAGUAGAGACCACCUUGGUCUCAAGUCAGGCAAUAACAAUAAGCUUGUUGAGAGUUUCAGUAGAAGCUCUAGCGUGAACAAACGGCCUCCUAGUGUUGUUGCAAAGCUAAUGGGGUUGGAGACGUUACCUGGUUCUCCACUGAGAAGAGACAAACUCAACAGUGAUCCGUUCUCAAGGUCAUUGAGGGAGAAUAGCAUGAACCGGACUAUCCGGUUAUCUCCUAGCUCACCAAGAAGCUUAGGGAAGGACCUAGCUUCUUCUUCAUCACCAAGAUGGAGAAGGUCUGAGUUUGUUAUUAAACCUUUAUCAAGUUUGAGGUUUCCCAUUGAACCAGCUCCAUGGAAGAAGCAACAGAAGCAAGCCUGCAGGCCUCUGUUGAAAGAUCUAGAGUUUAAGCAUUCGGUAAAGGAUCUGAGAGCUAUUAAUGAAAUAGUAGAGGCAAUGCAAACAAAAAGCGUCAAGCAGCAAGAAUGUUCAACAAGCUCAAGAGGCUUGGAAAGCCAUGUGAUGCCAUCAUCCACUAUGAGAGGAGGACCAAUUGUGAUUAUGAAGCCUGCCAGACUUGUUGGUGUUCCUUCACCAUCUCUGAUUCCCAUUCACAGUCUUAAUAGAGAAGAAGGGUCUGUGAAUGUUAAAAGAAACUUGAGAUCUUCUCAGGUCACUACAAAGAGUGCAAGUCCAAGAUUGAGUCAUAUGAAGAAGCAUGAGAAUGAGAAGUACUCUAGGCCACCACCUAUACCAUCUGAUUCAAGCAAAUCAAGAAGACAAACAAACCGAAAACUCGAAGAAUCUGCUACUUCUCCUGGUGGUAGUAGGCGUAGUAGACAAGGUUCUCAGAGGAGAUUGAUGCAGCAAAAGGAUGGCCAAGCAGGUGGUGGAAAGAGCUCAUCUGUGAUAGAGACAGCUAAAACAGUAGUCUCUAACUUAAUGCAGAACGCUAGUCAAAAGUCUAGUGGAGAUGGAUCAUCGGAACAUCCAAGUCCAGUGUCUGUUCUCAACGCAUCAAUCUACAGAGACAUCAAACCAUCUCAAGCUAGUGAAGGCACCAAGACUGAUGAAGAAGACGAGUGGAAUCCAGCUUACAGCUUCUCAAAGACAACAACCACCUUGUCUCCAGAGGUAAACAGAAAGAAGCUUCAGAACGUGGAGCAUUUGGUUCAGAAGCUGAAAAGAUUAAACUCUAGCCAUGACGAAGCAAGCCAAGACUACGUUGCAUCGCUAUGCGAGAACAGUGGUGCUGACACUGAUCACAGAUACAUAUCCGAGAUUCUGUUAGCCUCUGGUCUUCUCCUGAGAGACUUAGCCUCAGAGUCAACUACGUUUCAGCUCCACUCUUCAGGUCAUCCUAUUAACCCUGAGCUGUUUCUCGUUCUUGAGCAAACUAAAGGAAGCAGUGGUGGCGGCAAUGAGAAGAAGCUCAACCGCAAGGUUGUGUUCGACGCUGUUAAUGAGAUGCUUGUGAAGAAGUUAGCUAUUGUUGAUGUAGAGCCAUGGCUGAAGCGAGGUAAAGGGAUGAAGAGGAGGGUGUUUAGUGCGCAACAACUCUUGAAAGAGCUGUGUUCAGAGAUAGAAACAAUGCAAAAGGAAGCCAAGAGGAGAUCAGAUAACUUGUUCUUGUUGGGGGAACAAGAAGAGGACUUCUUGAAAUGUAUAUUGGAUGAAGAUAUGGAGAUGCGGUCUGAGAAAUGGACGGAGUUUGAUGAUGUAGUCCCGGGUAUAGUGCUUCACUUGGAGAGGCUUCUCUUCAAGGACCUGGUGAGUGAGGUCGUGCAUGGUGAGAUUGAUCGGCUGCAACCUACUCCAAGCAGACGAGUAGUUAUUACUGAUUCAUAAACUCGUUUUUUAUAUUCUCUGUACUCUAAAGCCGU